AGGAUAUGAAUACAUUUUAAUUAUCUCUCGAUCUACCUGUAUUUAAUAGUACUGUGACAUUCCAGCUGAAUGUAACAUGUAUUUUCAUUUCCAACAUGCAUUAAAAUCUUAUAACUGUUGUCCCUUUUUAUUCCCAUGAGUAUGGCGUUCACCGCAUUCCAUCCUGACACCCAAACACAACUUCCCAAGGGCCAGGUAUGAUGUGUUCAAUUUGUGAUCAGAUUAAUGUAUAACUCUAUUUCUUUCGUGAACGCAUGUGUAGGCAAGAUUUAUCAUGGAGGGUAACUACCGGAUGAUUGGAGUAUCGUGUCUUACAUUGUCGGGUCGUAAUUGAUUUACUAAACAGUUUAUCCAUGAAUGCCCUUGUUGACAACCUCCUUCUACAAUAAGGUCACGCACUAAAUAACCAUGCAGGCCGGACUCCAUGUCCGAGACUUGAUUCCAUCGGCUUGUGCAAUGAUUCAUGUCCCUGGUUCACGGUCCGUAUGGUGGCUCUAUCUUUCCGAUCUAUCACACAUCCUGACAAUGUGGUCGUCUUGUAAGGGAGAUUGGAGGAUCAUGACAAAAGACAGACGAUAUUUGCGUGAUGUUUAUUCUGAUUUGAUGUGUUUGUUGCAUGUAACUUAAUUGUUGAGUGCGGCUUACUACCUUAGUGGUAGCGUCAUUAUAAUGAAUGUAGUAUAUUUGAAUAUUUUGGACACAUGUUAACCUACAUUUCCCCACACAUCAGGUAUCUUUGGCACUUUUCUA